UGUCACUGCAAUAAUAAUGAAUGAACUAUCAUGAUGUAUAAGUAAUAGCAUGAUUGGUAGAAACUGGAACGCACAUAGAAAGGCACUUAUAUAAUACAGUUAAGGAAAGACAGUUCAUAACAAUAGGCUCUAAAUAUUGUUCAUUUUAGUUCCCCCUGCCUAAAUAUUCUCAUGCACUGAUAAAUACUUGAUUGAACCUUGAAUUUCAUAGAAAGUUGCUAUACAGAAGUUAAUGUUUGAUCUAACUAGUUCUUCUAUGUACUGAUUGAGGAUACUAUUAUGUAUGUCUUCUGUAACAUGUACUACUUUGCUUCACCUGACAACUAUAAAUCUUUGGCCCUAUAAGCUGCAUUGCUUUAUUUUCUUGUAUUACUAAUAGGAGCUAUAACCUGUUAUUUUAAUUAGAAAUUUAUGCAGUUUCUAUAUUGACAAACUGAUUAUCCAAUGUUAUUUCUAUUACUGUUGCUAAUACAUAAUCUGAUCUAUAUUUGUGACGCAUAGAUGGUUUGUCAUAAAAUCAGUAGAACUUUUAUUAGAGUGCUUGCAUGAUAGAUAUACAAACGUAAUUGAGUUCAUCUUUUCCCUGAAAAAUAAUAAUGAUUACAAGUAAAAUAAUUUUUGUGAGCCAUAGACAGAAUAUAAAGUUUUGGAGACAUGUUUUACUUACUUGAGCUUGAAUAUUAGAUUUUUCUUUCAAGUGUAUAUUCAGUAGAGGAUUUUUGGUAGUGAUAGAAGUUUUUUGCAUGACACUUGGGCAGGGUGUCUACUUUGAUGACGAAUCUGCUGAAGUUGUGAUAUCUUCUCUGCAGUUGGGAGAUGACCAGGACAGGAUGAAGGCCUUCACAAUUCAAGUAAAAUUGCUGCUUUUGAUUUUGAUGGAUGUCUUGCAAACACUUCUGUUAGAAGAAUGCUUCAUUUGUUGGAAGCUUUACACAAAUUUGGCUCACUAACAACUAGAGUUGACGCACUUAUUGGAAGGUAGGUCCGGAUGCUUGGUCUCUGAUGUAUCCUUCAAUACCUGCUAGUUUUGUUAUUUGCUAGUUUCUUAAUCAGAAGGUUUCCCAUUAACUGAAAAAAAUUAUUCUACAUUUUUAGGUUCUUUUGGUUUCAAAAGUAUAGAGAAAAUUUCAGAAAAUUUGCUGAAUGAUUUGCACUGCAAUUACAAAUAUGUAGGUUUUCAUUGCUUGUGGAGUAAGUAAUUCUAAUGGUCAAGCAAACGAUCCCUACCGCAAACCAAAACCAGGGAUGUGCUUCAUAUGGUGGAUUGUUGUAUUAUGUGGGUAAAUUAUACCUAAACUAUAUUUAUUGUCUCUGUUUACUCGAGAAUUUUUUAACUUCUCAAUAGUGAGAACAUAAAAGAUAAAAAAAACCAACUUCAGUUAUUGCAAAUAAACAAAGAAUUUAAUGUGCAAUAUAAUAGUUUUAAUAUCUUUUUCCAUCAUAAGUAUCAAUUAUAUGUGAUUAAAUGAUGAAUUUGUUAGAUAUGCUUUAGUUCUAAUGGUUCUUUAUAAAUUGUUGUAUAUUGUAUCAUUGUGUGUGUAUUUUUUUUUAAUAAAGAGCUACAACUUUUAG